AGAGUUUGAUCCUGGCUCAGGAUGAACGCUAGCUACAGGCUUAACACAUGCAAGUCGAGGGGAAACGACAUCGAAAGCUUGCUUUUGAUGGGCGUCGACCGGCGCACGGGUGAGUAACGCGUAUCCAACCUGCCCACCACUUGGGGAUAACCUUGCGAAAGUAAGACUAAUACCCAAUGAUAUCUCUAGAAGACAUCUGAAGGAGAUUAAAGAUUUAUCGGUGAUGGAUGGGGAUGCGUCUGAUUAGCUUGUUGGCGGGGUAACGGCCCACCAAGGCGACGAUCAGUAGGGGUUCUGAGAGGAAGGUCCCCCACAUUGGAACUGAGACACGGUCCAAACUCCUACGGGAGGCAGCAGUGAGGAAUAUUGGUCAAUGGGCGAGAGCCUGAACCAGCCAAGUAGCGUGCAGGAUGACGGCCCUAUGGGUUGUAAACUGCUUUUAUAAGGGAAUAAAGUGAGCCUCGUGAGGCUUUUUGCAUGUACCUUAUGAAUAAGGACCGGCUAAUUCCGUGCCAGCAGCCGCGGUAAUACGGAAGGUCCGGGCGUUAUCCGGAUUUAUUGGGUUUAAAGGGAGCGUAGGCCGGAGAUUAAGCGUGUUGUGAAAUGUAGAUGCUCAACAUCUGCACUGCAGCGCGAACUGGUUUCCUUGAGUACGCACAAAGUGGGCGGAAUUCGUGGUGUAGCGGUGAAAUGCUUAGAUAUCACGAAGAACUCCGAUUGCGAAGGCAGCUCACUGGAGCGCAACUGACGCUGAAGCUCGAAAGUGCGGGUAUCGAACAGGAUUAGAUACCCUGGUAGUCCGCACGGUAAACGAUGGAUGCCCGCUGUUGGUCUGAAUAGGUCAGCGGCCAAGCGAAAGCAUUAAGCAUCCCACCUGGGGAGUACGCCGGCAACGGUGAAACUCAAAGGAAUUGACGGGGGCCCGCACAAGCGGAGGAACAUGUGGUUUAAUUCGAUGAUACGCGAGGAACCUUACCCGGGCUUGAAUUGCAGAGGAAGGAUUUGGAGACAAU
rnacentral:rRNA from 1 species